rnacentral:rRNA from 1 species
GUAGGUGGCAAGCGUUGUCCGGGAAUUAUUGGGGCGUAAAGCGCGCGCAGGCGGUUCUUUAAGUCUGAUGUGAAAGCCCACGGGCUCAACCGUGGAGGGUCAUUGGAAACUGGAGAACUUGAGUACAGAAGAGGAAAGCGGAAUUCCACGUGUAGCGGUGAAAUGCGUAGAGAUGUGGAGGAACACCAGUGGCGAAGGCGGCUUUCUGGUCUGUAACUGACGCUGAGGCGCGAAAGCGUGGGGAGCAAACAGGAUUAGAUACCCUGGUAGUCCACGCCGUAAACGAUGAGUGCUAAGUGUUACGGGGGUUUCCGCCCCUUAGUGCUGCAGCUAACGCAUUAAGCACUCCGCCUGGGGAGUACGGCCGCAAAGGCUG